GGGUUGUGAGGUUAAGCGACUAAGCGUACACGGUGGAUGCCCUGGCAGUCAGAGGCGAUGAAGGACGUGCUAAUCUGCGAUAAGCGUCGGUAAGGUGAUAUGAACCGUUAUAACCGGCGAUUUCCGAAUGGGGAA
rnacentral:rRNA from 1 species